rnacentral:rRNA from 1 species
GACGAACGCUGGCGGCGUGCUUAACACAUGCAAGUCGAACGGAAAGGCCCUGCUCUUGUGGGGUGCUCGAGUGGCGAACGGGUGAGUAACACGUGAGUAACCUGCCCUUGACUUUGGGAUAACUUCAGGAAACUGGGGCUAAUACCGGAUAGGAGCUCCUGCUGCACGGGGGGGGUUGGAAAGUUUCGGCGGUUGGGGAUGGACUCGCGGCUUAUCAGCUUGUUGGUGGGGUAGUGGCUUACCAAGGCUUUGACGGGUAGCCGGCCUGAGAGGGGGACCGGCCACAUUGGGACUGAGAUACGGCCCAGACUCCUACGGGAGGCAACAGUGGGGAAUAUUGCACAAUGGGCGGAAGCCUGAUGCAGCAACGCCGCGUGCGGGAUGCCGGCCUUCGAGUUGUAAACCGCUUUCGCCUGUGCCGAAGCGUGAGUGACGGUAAUGGGUAAAAAAGCACCGGCUAACUACGUG